rnacentral:lncRNA from 1 species
AUGUCUUGUAUCACAGGGAGGAAGGUGGCAUAUCAGCUGUGUCUGGUACUGAUUCAGGUGGUAGAAUCAUUAGAAGUCUUUAAAGCGAAUCAGAAUAUGAAAUAUGGAACUUCGGCUCUUCAGAAAACACCAGAAGCAAGACAGCUACAUCGAUCUUCUCUCAUCCUUCUACCCUGAAGCUGGUCUUAAAACCUCAUUUGAUGGUUGCCUUUCCACACCUGGAAGAAAGAAGCUGAAGACACAGACACACCCAGGACAAUCCUAACAAACAAACGUUGCUAAAUUAUGACACACUUGAGCUUUUCAGUCAGAUUUCUCCCCACUCGGCCACUGUUUGUUAAAUCUAAGCCUAAAAAUACAGAAAAUUAGCAACUUAUUUGGAUUUCUGUUUCCUUAUGAAGUAUACUGUAUGUCCUAAAACGUCAAUAAAUGAAUUUGCUUUUGUUUGCUAAUUUGCCUUUUGUUUACAGGGCCCAGAGCCUGUAUGUAGCCAUGGUGAGGAAAAGUAAUCUCUCAUACUCUCAACUCUAUAUUUAAGCUAAAUAACACCUCCUUAUCUCCCAUUUUAAUAAAGUACGUAGAAUCUAACUUUAUUUCUAGUCAGUGCACAGAAAGUCAAUGUGUC